rnacentral:lncRNA from 1 species
UGGCGGUUUGACUUUAUUCCGGGACUCUCUUACAUGAAUAUCCAAAAAAACAAUAUCCAAAGAUUAAAAAAAAUUGAGGUCCAAUGCAUUUCCAUCCGGGUCAUAUCAUGUUGUUGAUAGUUCCAGCAUUUCCAGCAACUACAUGUGAAAAUUAUAUGGUAAGCAACUUCUCUUUCAAUGUCCGACAAAGAAAUAAAUAGAAAAGCAAACGAAAACCAAAGAAACGAAAGGAAGAAACGAAAGGAAGAAACAAAAUAAAAAAC